rnacentral:tRNA from 1 species
CAGAUAUGGUUCAAUGGUAGAAUGUCAGCUUCCCAAGCUGAAUAUGCGGGUUCGAUUCCCGUUAUCUG